rnacentral:rRNA from 1 species
CCUACGGGAGGCAGCAGUGAGGAAUAUUGGUCAAUGGGCGGGAGCCUGAACCAGCCAAGUCGCGUGAGGGAAGAAGGUCCUGAGGAUUGUAAACCUCUUUUGCCAGGGGACAAAGGCGGCCACGUGUGGCCGUAAGAGGGUACCCGGAGAAAAAGCAUCGGCUAACUCCGUGCCAGCAGCCGCGGUAAUACGGAGGAUGCGAGCGUUAUCCGGAUUUAUUGGGUUUAAAGGGUGCGCAGGCGGCGGGUCAAGUCAGCGGUAAAAUGUCGGGGCUCAACCCCGGACGGCCGUUGAAACUGGCUCGCUUGAGUGGGCGAGAAGUAUGCGGAAUGCGUGGUGUAGCGGUGAAAUGCAUAGAUAUCACGAAGAACCCCGAUUGCGAAGGCAGCAUACCGGCUCCACACUGACGCUGAGGCACGAAAGCGUGGGUAUCGAACAGGAUUAGAUACCCUUGUAGUC